UACGAAGGGUGCAAGCGUUACUCGGAAUUACUGGGCGUAAAGGGUGCGUAGGUGGUUUUUUAAGUCCGUUGUGAAAUCCCUGGGCUCAACCUGGGAAUGGCAGUGGAUACUGGAAAGCUAGAGUGCGGUAGAGGGUAGUGGAAUUCCUGGUGUAGCAGUGAAAUGCGUAGAUAUCAGGAGGAAUACCGAUGGCGAAGGCAGGUCUCUGGGCUGACACUGACGCUCAUGCACGAAAGCGUGGGGAGCAAACAGG
rnacentral:rRNA from 1 species